rnacentral:misc_RNA from 1 species
UCCCGGUUAACCCGGGCAGUCUCAUUAGAGUCCCCACCUCGCGUGCUGGCAACUAAUGAUAAGGGUUGCGCUCGUUGCGGGACUUAACCCAACACCUCACGGCACGAGCUGACGACAGCCAUGCAGCACCUGUACGGAGACCCUUGCGGGAAGCUACGUUUCCGUAGCGGUCCUCCGUAUUUCAAAUCCGGGUAAGGUUCUUCGCGUUGCAUCGAAUUAAACCACAUGCUCCACUGCUUGUGCGGGCCCCCGUCAAUUCUUUUGAGUUUCACCCUUGCGAGCGUACUCCUCAGGCGGUAUACUUAACGCGUUAGCUCCGACACAGACGGGGUUGAGCCCGUCUACAUCAAGUAUACAUCGUUUACGGCAUGGACUAC